GUGCUCACUUUGGCAGCACAUAUACUAAAAUUGGAAUGAUGCAGAGAAGAUCAGCAUGGUCCCUGUUCAGGGAUGACACACAAGUUCAUGAAGCAUUCUGUAUUUUU
ensembl:snRNA U6 U6 spliceosomal RNA